ACCUAUUUGGCUCAGUCAGUAGAGCAUGUGACUCUUGAUCUCAGGGUCAUGAGUUCAAGUCCCAUGCUGGGUG
rnacentral:tRNA from 1 species